rnacentral:rRNA from 1 species
GUGGGGAAUUUUGGACAAUGGGCGCAAGCCUGAUCCAGCAAUGCCGCGUGCAGGAAGAAGGCCUUCGGGUUGUAAACUGCUUUUGUACGGAACGAAACGGUCCGGGUUAAUACCCUGGGCUAAUGACGGUACCGUAAGAAUAAGCACCGGCUAACUACGUGCCAGCAGCCGCGGUAAUACGUAGGGUGCAAGCGUUAAUCGGAAUUACUGGGCGUAAAGCGUGCGCAGGCGGUUUUGUAAGACAGGCGUGAAAUCCCCGGGCGCAACCUGGGAAUUGCGCUUGUGACUGCAAGGCUGGAGUGCGGCAGAGGGGGAUGGAAUUCCGCGUGUAGCAGUGAAAUGCGUAGAUAUGCGGAGGAACACCGAUGGCGAAGGCAAUCCCCUGGGCCUGCACUGACGCUCAUGCACGAAAGCGUGGGGAGCAAACAGGAUUAGAUACCCUGGUAGUCC